CCUACGGGUGGCAGCAGUGAGGAAUAUUGGUCAAUGGGCGAGAGCCUGAACCAGCCAAGUCGCGUGAGGGAGUACUGCCCUAUGGGUUGUAAACCUCUUUUGUCGGGGAGCAAAAGCCGGACGUGUCCGGCUGUGAGAGUACCCGAAGAAAAAGCAUCGGCUAACUCCGUGCCAGCAGCCGCGGUAAAACGGAGGAUGCGAGCGUUAUCCGGAUUUAUUGGGUUUAAAGGGUGCGCAGGCGGAUUUUUAAGUCAGAGGUAAAAUCGUGGGGCUCAACCCCAUCCAGCCGUUGAAACUGGGGAUCUAGAGUGUGCGAGAGGUAUGCGGAAUGCGUGGUGUAGCGGUGAAAUGCAUAGAUAUCACGCAGAACCCCGAUUGCGAAGGCAGCAUACCGGUGCACAACUGACGCUCAGGCACGAAAGCGUGGGUAUCGAACAGGAUUAGAUACCCUUGUAGUC
rnacentral:rRNA from 1 species